rnacentral:lncRNA from 1 species
CAAUAUGACCUCGACCUUUGCUUUUGCAGAGAAAGGACAGUUGCUUACCAGAUGUUUAUAAAUUGGUUCUUUCGUACAACCAAUUGGAUAUUCUUGUGUUGUGUGAAUUCCUUUUUACCAAAAGUUAUGAGGAACCUCAGAGGUUUUGGGCCCUCAAGGAGGAAUUCGAGAAGUCCUCAGGGCUUUCGUCUAUUGGUAAGAGCACAACGCAUGAUGUGUGGAUUAGGUGCAUGUCACAAGUUUGAACUCUGCCGCAGACAGAAUCCUGGUAUUUAAGUGGAGAAGGGUUAAGGUACAGGUCCAUUAUCCACCGAACUUCAGACUCUGCACCAGUUGGCUCUCAAAAUAUUUCAGUUGUCAACGAAAAUAGAAGAGAUUUUGGGAGCAUAUACCUUGUGAAAAGGAAGGGUACAUAAUUUGUGCAGUCAGGAACUGGUGAAGCUGGGGUAUCAGAAAGUGACUGCAUCAUAGGAUUUAUCCAACAGCUGUUGUUCGAUUGUUUGUGUUCCCUUAAGUAGUGAUUUUUUCUUAAUCAUGAUUAGUUAGGGAGGUUGUAUUCUAGUAAUCUGUGCAUUAUUUUCUAUUUUGGAACAUGCGUACACACCCCCUAGUAGCUUCAAAGAGAAAUCAAGUUGUGCAUUCUCAAUGUGUCUCCCUCUCUUCGUCUUACUAUAGAAUUCUGAAGGACAACACUAAAUCCUUGGCUUUUGGUUAUUUUGAGACUUAACUGCUAUGUCAUACUUUUUCAGGAUUUCAAAGACAAAAUACCCAUGCUACAAUAGAAAUCUGGUCAAAUGGAUUUUGUCUGAACCAACAGAUCGUCUCUGCUGAGCCUUCUGCAGCACAUUGCAUGCAUAUAUCUUCUGUUCAGCAAUAAUAACUAGAUGACUCCAGCUACUUGGAAGUCUUCAAGCCAGUCAUAAUCCUUAAUGAGGUGUUACAACUGCAGUCAAUAUGACCUCGACCUUUGCUUUUGCAGAGAAAGGACAGUUGCUUACCAGAUGUUUAUAAAUUGGUUCUUUCGUACAACCAAUUGGAUAUUCUUGUGUUGUGUGAAUUCCUUUUUACCAAAAGUUAUGAGGAACCUCAGAGGUUUUGGGCCCUCAAGGAGGAAUUCGAGAAGUCCUCAGGGCUUUCGUCUAUUGGUAAGAGCACAACGCAUGAUGUGUGGAUUAGGUGCAUGUCACAAGUUUGAACUCUGCCGCAGACAGAAUCCUGGUAUUUAAGUGGAGAAGGGUUAAGGUACAGGUCCAUUAUCCACCGAACUUCAGACUGUGCACCAGUUGGCUCUCAAAAAAUUUCAGUUGUCAACGAAAAUAGAAGAGAUUUUGGGAGCAUAUAC